rnacentral:lncRNA from 1 species
CAGCGAGCCGGGUAGGAGAGACCUGGUGGUAUAAAGAGGGGGAAGUGUCUUAAAGAGCCAGUUCGUGAGAGCGUUCGCAGGUGGAGCACAUGGGACCGCGCCACGCGGCCGGCGGGGCCUGCUGGCGCUCUUUAGGUUGGGUGCGCCAGAAUCCCAGGAAGGAGCCAUUAAUAUCACCCUCAGCUUACGGGAUGAUGGCGUGGGGGUGCUGUCGCCUCACUUGCGUCCCAUAGGCCUGGCCCCUCCAGGCCCCGCCUGGGUGACCUUGGGUGAGCCGGCCUCACCUCCGUGGACUGUGCUCGGCUCCUCCCAGGCAGCACCGGCCAGCAAUUUGAUUGGCAGAAUCCAGGU